UUCGGGUUGUAAAGCCCUUUUGUUGGGAAAGAAAUCCAGCCGGCUAAUACCUGGUUGGGAUGACGGUACCCAAAGAAUAAGCACCGGCUAACUUCGUGCCAGCAGCCGCGGUAAUACGAAGGGUGCAAGCGUUACUCGGAAUUACUGGGCGUAAAGCGUGCGUAGGUGGUUGUUUAAGUCUGUUGUGAAAGCCCUGGGCUCAACCUGGGAACUGCAGUGGAAACUGGACAACUAGAGUGUGGUAGAGGGUAGCGGAAUUCCCGGUGUAGCAGUGAAAUGCGUAGAGAUCGGGAGGAACAUCCAUGGCGAAGGCAGCUACCUGGACCAACACUGACACUGAGGCACGAAAGCGUGGGGAGCAAACA
rnacentral:rRNA from 1 species